GAUGAGAACGCAGCGAAAUGCGAUAAGUAAUGUGAAUUGCAGAAUUCAGUGAAUCAUCGAAUCUUUGAACGCACAUUGCGCCCCCCAGUAUUCUGGCGGGCAUGCCUGUUCGAGCGUCAUUUCAACCAUCAAGCCCUGCUUGUGUUGGGGUCCUGCGGCUGCCCGCAGGCCCUGAAAACCAGUGGCGGGCUCGCUAGUCACACCGAGCGCAGUAGCACAUCUCGCUCAGGGCGUGCGGCGGGCUCCAGCCGUUAAAGCACCCACCUUUCGCAAGGUUGACCUCGGAUCAGGUAGGAAUACCCGCUGAACUUAAGCAUAUCAAUAAGCGGAGGA
rnacentral:misc_RNA from 1 species